GACGAACGCUGGCGGCGUGCUUAACACAUGCAAGUCGAACGGAAAGGCCUUUUCGGAGGUACUCGAGUGGCGAACGGGUGAGUAACACGUGGGUGAUCUGCCCUGCACUCUGGGAUAAGCCUGGGAAACUGGGUCUAAUACCGGAUAGGACCGCACUUUAGUGUGUGUGGUGGAAAGUUUUUUCGGUGUAGGAUGAGCCCGCAGCCUAUCAGCUUGUUGGUGGGGUAAUGGCCUACCAAGGCGGCGACGGGUAGCCGGACUGAGAGGUUGGUCGGCCACAUUGGGACUGAGAGACGGCCCAGACUCCUACGGGAGGCAGCAGUGGGGAAUAUUGCACAAUGGGCGCAAGCCUGAUGCAGCGACGCCGCGUGGGGGAUGACGGCCUUCGGGUUGUAAACUCCUUUCGCCAGGGACGAAGCGUUUUGUGACGGUACCUGGAGAAGAAGCACCGGCUAACUACG
rnacentral:rRNA from 1 species